UCAGUCAGGUGCUCCUUCAGGGAUAUAUGGUGCUGGUGUUGGUUUGGUAGUUUGGGCUGUAACUGUGUUUUUUGCUGAAAGAUUUGUGGACAACGAAAUCAAAGGUAUUUCAGUGAAAAUAAAGUGAAUCACUCUCAGGAUCAGCAUGGAAAAAAUGAAGAGAAACAACAGUUCAUAAUCACUGUAACAAUAUAAACUUCGGCCUUGCAUGACAUGCCAAUCAGUUUUAAUUUGUUUGUUUUAUGGAUACAUUUUGACAUAUUUUGAUUUUUUUGUCUCAUGCUUGACUACCCGAACAAAAAAAGGAAAAUUUAAAAUAAAUCAACAUAUUUCAAAAAUUUUCACUUGUUUGAAAUUUGUGUUUUAGUUUAAUUGUAAGGGUUCUUGGGAUGCCAUUCAUGUGAAAGAUUGUUUAUCCAGUGCUUAUACAGAUCUAUGUACAAAUACAGAAUAAAGCCAAUCAAACUUGA